rnacentral:rRNA from 1 species
ACGCUCACACCUACCGGAGGCAGCAGUGGGGAAUAUUGCACAAUGGAGGAAACUCUGAUGCAGCGACGCCGCGUGAGCGAAGAAGUAUUUCGGUAUGUAAAGCUCUAUCAGCAGGGAAGAAAAAGGACGGUACCUGACUAAGAAGCUCCGGCUAAAUACGUGCCAGCAGCCGCGGUAAUCUGAGCGGGCUGGCAAGGC